rnacentral:rRNA from 1 species
CACGUAGGAGGCAAACGUUAUCCGGAUUUACUGGGCGUAAAGCGCGUGUAGGUGGUUCUGUAAGUAGGGCGUGAAAGCUCCCGGCUCAACUGGGAGAGGCCGUUCUAAACUGCAGAGCUAGAGGAUGGUAGAGGGAGGUGGAAUUCCAGGUGUAGCGGUGGAAUGCGCAGAUAUCUGGAGGAACACCAGUGGCGAAGGCGGCCUCCUGGACCAUUCCUGACACUCAGACGCGGAAGCUAGGGUAGCAAACGGGAUUAGAUACCCGUGUAGU